AACGAACGUUGGCGGCGUGCCUAACACAUGCAAGUCUUACGGGAAAGUCCUCUUCGGGGGCGAGUACAGUGGCGAACGGGUGAGUAACACGUGGGCAACCUGCCCUUGGGAUCGGGAUAACCUCGCGAAAGUGGGGCUAAUACCGGAUAAGACCACGCAGUCUAUGACUAAGUGGGAAAAGAUGGCCUCUUCUUGAAAGCUAUCACCUGAGGAUGGGCCCGCGGCCUAUUAGCUUGUUGGUGAGGUAACGGCUCACCAAGGCAACAAUGGGUAUCCGGCCUGAGAGGGUGAACGGACACACCGGCACUGAGACACGGGCCAGACUCCUACGGGAGGCAGCAGUGGGAAUUUUGCGCAAUGGGGGAAACCCUGACGCAGCAACGCCGCGUGAGUGAUGAAGGCCUUCGGGUUGUAAAGCUCUUUUAGUGGGGAAUAAACAUUCAGGGCCGAAUAGGCCCUGGACUUGAAGGUACCCACAGAAAAAGCACCGGCUAACUCCGUG
rnacentral:rRNA from 1 species